UACGUAGGGUGCAAGCGUUUGUCCGGAAUUAUUGGGCGUAAAGAGCUCGUAGGCGGUUUGGUCGCGUCUGCUGUGAAAACUCGGGGCUCAACUCCGAGCUUGCAGUGGGUACGGGCAGGCUAGAGUUCGGUAGGGGAGACUGGAAUUCCGUGGUGUAGCGGUGAAAAUGCGCAGAUAUCAGGAGGAACACCGGUGGCGAAGGCGGGUCUCUGGGCCGAUACUGACGCUGAGGAGCGAAAGCGUGGGGAGCGAACAGG
rnacentral:rRNA from 1 species